UACAGAGGUCUCAAGCGUUGUUCGGAUUCAUUGGGCGUAAAGGGUGCGUAGGUGGCGUGGUAAGUCUGGUGUGAAAUCCUGGGGCUCAACCCCGGAACUGCACUGGAUACUGCCAUGCUUGAGUACUGGAGAGGAGAUUGGAAUUUACGGUGUAGCAGUGAAAUGCGUAGAUAUCGUAAGGAAGACCAGUGGCGAAGGCGAAUCUCUGGACAGUUACUGACACUGAGGCACGAAGGCCAGGGGAGCAAACGGG
rnacentral:rRNA from 1 species